CCCCAGUGUGUGGCAGCGGCGGCGGCGGCGCGGCGAGGCUGGGGCUCUUGUUUACCAGCAUUAACUCCGCUGAGCGGAAAAAAAAAGGGAAAAAACCCGAGGAGGAGCGAGCGCACCAGGCGAACUCGAGAGAGGCGGGAGAGCGAGAGGGACGCCGCCAGCGAGCCUGCCCACGGCCGGCGCUCGCAGACCCUCGGCCCCGCUCCCCGGAUCCCCCCGCGCCCUCCACGCCCCUCCCGCGCGGGGGCAGCUCCACGGCGCGCCUCGCCUCGGCUGUGACCUUCAGCGAGCCGGAGCCCCCGCGCAGAGCAGGCGGCGGCGGGCGG
rnacentral:lncRNA from 10 species